AUCAGAUUGUUCUGGGAUUAUUCAGAACACCUUGCUUGUCAUCUGUGAUUGAAUGAUUAUCCCCAUUACAGCUGUCUACCUGGAAAGGAUAUGUCAGACUGCUGUCCUGUCGAACUGGGAAAAGAUCACUGUGGUUUAUAGCACUCAAGACUCCGUACAAGCUAUGACCUCUCACUCCCACAGUAAAACAAACUGCUAUUUCUUCAUUUUUCUUUCUGCAUCAUCAUCAUCAUCUUUCUAAAGGUAAGCUCUACAUGGUCCCCAGCUGCUGUACCACUCUCAUCCAGGCCUAAAGCUGCUUUUCUGCUAUUUGAAUUUAAUCCCAGUUUUCCACUUAAGGAACUAAUUACCAUAGUUUUCAGAUGUUUGAGGUUAAAACUUUUUUUAAAGAAUUUAGUGAUCUUUUUUUUCUUUUGUGACAAUUUUCUUUUGUGACAGUUAGAAUGUUUACAUGCAUUUAAGUGAUCAAUGCAAGACUGCUGUAUCCUUAAUACGUAGAAGACGCUCCGCUUUGCAGAGAACAUACCCCGCAUCAGAUUUUUGCCUCCAGUAGUAGGAUUUAGGAUGGUGGUCCAAAACUAGAGGUCACAAUCUAUAGUAGGGAUGGAAACCCAAAGUAGACUGAGUUGCAGAAGAGAAGCUUACUAACUUAAGUGCCUGUGGGAGUUGUAUGGAGCUUCUUCCUGAGAAGUUUGGGAAUUGAUAUUAGGAGGAAGGUUUCAUUUGCUUCGCUAUAUCUAGAAGAACCUUGUAGAGAUAAAAACACAUUUGAAGAAAUGAGCCUACGUGAAAGGGAUCUUGUUUCUUCACUGCUAUAUAUUGCAAAUAAGGGUGUUUGUCUUCCACUUUUAGCUCAAUUUUCUUAAUAACAGGGAGGUUAAUUGCCACUAGAAGUAAGACUAAAAGAACACACAGUGCCUAUAGCAAAUGAGCGCUUAUUAUCCCCAAUGCAGCUGAGUGUACAGACGCUUUUUUAGCUCUGUCUAAUGGAACACAUGUUGCAUUCUAAUCAGGUGAUGACUAGUUGCUCUGUGCCUGAAAUCACUUUAAACAAAACCAUUUUACUUCAGUACCCCCUUCCUGCGUGCACUGUACAUACUUCUGUGGUUCUUCAGAGUGCUUAUAGCCCAGUUGUCAGCUUUUCCUUCACUGAAACAUUGCUUCAUGUCGUCUUCUGCCUCUUACUGCUCACUGCCUUUUUCCCUAAACCUGGGCUUUGUGAACUUCUUCCUCUGCUAAAUGUAACUGCACUCUGUUAAGAUUCUAUUUUUGUGAAAUAUUCGCAUCGUUUCUUCAUGUCUUGUCUCAUGUAGCAACACUUGCUUGUACUUUGCAUCUUCAUCAGGCCUUUGAGUUUGUCUGAAGAAGAUUAUGACCUCGUAGACUGUGGCUGCUCUGUUUUCAGAAUUCUGAGGAUCUUCAUGAUUCUGCAUAAAUGACACACAUUUUCCUGCCACAGAAGAUGCUAUAAAUAUUUUGAAUACAAGACUACAAAUUCUUCACAGAAACAAAACCCACAAUCACUACCCCAAAUGCGAUGAUCUUCAGUUAUUUGUAAACUCUUUAUAUCAUCUUUAUUUCCUUGCAUCACUGUUUAUUUUCUUACAGUACUGAUGCUAUCAGUCAGACAACUCUGUUGUGCAGUACCAAGAAAACUCACCUCAAAAAAUAGUGAUUGUGCUUUUCAAUGCCAUAUCUGGGAAUUCAUUGAAAUUUGAUUGAAAUGAACAAAAAAUAUGUUCUUAAACUUUAUUUUGCUUUGGAAAAAGCUAAAAUGGUAAUUACUGUUCUUCAUUCAGCUUAUUGAUGUAGAGCAAUUGAAACAAAUUGGACUUCUUUUAGGAAGUCAAUUUGGGCAACACAUUGAAAUACAAGAAAUGCUGUUUAAACAGAAGAAAAAAAACUUUUAACUGUAAGGGUGAUUGAACACUGGAAUGGGAUGCCCACAGAGGUUGUGGUGUCUCUGUCCUGGGAGGUGCUCAAAACCCACCUGGACAAAUGUCCUAAGUGACCUGCUCUAACUUACCCUGCUUUGAGCAGGGGGGUUAGACUAGAUGAUCUGCAGAGAGCCCUUCCAACCUCAGCCAUUUGGUGAUGCUGUGAUUCUGUGAAAUGGUUUAGGCCCUGAUUUUGAGUGAGGGAGGUUCUUAUUUUCCCAUCUCUGGUGUGUGUUUAUACCUUAACACUGACAAGACCAGUAUAGUACUUUGGGGAAUAUUUUAUGGGGUGGAUGUGAAAAUGUAGUUGAUUAAAAGCAUCACACGAUCAGUGGGAAUCAGCACCAUCCUUGCUUUGAUAGCUUCUGGCAGUACAAACCACAUUUUUCUCAAUCUGUUUUAUAUCAUUGGCCCUGAUCAUCCCUAGUUCACUGUAUUUAUUGUUCUAAGCAAAACACAUGUCUGUCUUUGUAGAAUUCUACACUCUUAGUUGUAUUAUAGUUGGAGUUCUUUCCUGUAAGUAAUUUUCUAAGUGAUAUAAACAGUAUAUUGUAUUCUAGUAUAUUGUUACUUAUUUGAACUACAGGCUGUCAGAUCAUACAUACCUCUUAAAGCAGGAAGACUGGCUUUGCCCUUGGGUUGUUUGAGAUGGGAGCAGGCUGGCUGGGUAGUCUAGAGUUGAUUCUGACAUGACUGUGAGAGAAAACGCUAAGUGAUAUUUGCUCUUUUAAGGGAAGGAUUAUGUCUGGCUUGCAUUAGGAUUUGCAACCUAAAAGGAUCCUUUGGCUGUUUCUGAAAGGAUGCUUUAACAGCAUCACCACUAGUCACCUUCAUCUCUGCUUGGUUUUGGUGGUUGCAGCUUUUCCUCUCUACAAAAUGCCAUGCCCAAAAUAGAUUCCUUUAAUGUUCUUUUCACCUGUCUGAUAACAGUCACUCAGAAAUUGUUUCUAGUGCAGGCUGUAAGUGCUAGCUCCCUGAAGGUAGCUUGCACCUGGUGUCUUACACCUGUACCCCAUGGAUUUGCAUAUGCUUCUAGUUUUCUGACUGCAGUUGAAAAUGCCUUUUUGACUUAAGUCUCUCGAUGUAAUCGAAUCCAGCAGCUCUUCACAUUUCAGCUGUGUCUCAGUCACGUGCCCCAGAAUGUCUGAGGGUAGGGUGCUUGGUGCAGACGCUCCUUAGUUUGAAAUCUCCUUUUUAGUUUUAAUUCAGUGAAGUGCAAAUCUGACUUUGAAGAACAAUUGCAACAUCUUUUCCCAAGCUCCAGCUUGGUAUGUGGGGAUGUGUGUGUGUGUGUGUGUGUUUGGCUUUUUAAACAAUAGCUAAUGAACUUUUCUAAUGUAUUCAAUAAAUUGUUCUGAUGAUUUUAAAGAAUUUGUGGCUAUACAGAAAGAUCAAAACACAAGCCCUUUAAUAAUGAAAAUGCAUUUUGUGAUACUAUUCUUAAGAAAGAUAGAUGCAGGAUAUAGUAGGCUUUCCAUAUAUCUUCAGCUGCCACAGUUGUUCCUCAUUCUGAUAUUAUUGGAGGAAAGGAGACUCUAAAUAGGAAAACGGGAAUAUUUGAUGACAAUCCAACAGUGAGUAUAAGAUGGAAUUGAAUGAGAACAAAGUGGAAAGAGCAAGGCCCCUUUUUGUAAAUGGAGACUGAAAAGUUGCAGAGAAAGGGAAGUGUAAGAAGAUAUAAGUACAUUUUGUACUGCUUUUUACACAGGUGGGGUUGUCAUAAAUUUAAUGUGCAACCAAGAUAAAUUAUGGGCUCAAACUUCGUAUCACCCUUUACUUGAAACUGUAAAACCUGAAAUCGUGUUAUGUUUCUGAAGUAUUACUUUCUGUGCUAAUAUGCUCCAUUAUCAAGGAAGUGAAGAUCAAAGUUGUCUGCUUGUUAUUUUAAAUAUCAUGCCUUAAAUUUGCCUUGCUUUUUCUUAUUCUCGUAGACUGAUCGUUGGGUGGAGAUGAAGGUGAUGCAUUCUAGUCCUAGGUUGACCGAUGAAUGGGUUCCUGGAUUACUUUGAGAAAGUUGUAUCACAUCUGUGCUGCUUAUUUGUCAGUGGUAGAAUAAGUAUCCUAACAAUACAGUAGAGUACUGACGUUGAUGAAAUUAAUAUGUAAGCGUGAAGUAGUGUUGUCUGUGAUUCCUCUAUGCAAAACAUAUCUAUUGUCUUUUAAAAAUCAAUGCUGGAAACUCAGUUUUUGUUAGCAAUCUCUAGAUAAUAAGACACAGGCACAUGUUACAAGAAAGUAAAAGUCUGCGAGGGAACUUUUGCAGUGUGAAAACCCCCUAGAUCCAAGUGCAUUUACCUAUUUUUCUAAUAGGUUUAGCUCAGAUUUACAUAAAACCAAAGCGCGUGUGUGUAUGUGGCAUAUGAUACUGGUAAAGGUAGGUGAGGUGCUAAAGAAGAAGGCUGUAACAGCACAAAGCAGCUUCCAAUUCCCCCUCUGGAAAAAUCCCCCACAGGAUUACAGGCAAUGGUAAUGCCAUCUGUCUGUCUUCUGCAGAGUCAGUCUUCUCUCCUGGGAGCAGAAAAAGAACUGGCACAUGGAGGUGGGCUUUCACUCCCCUGCUGCACUGAGAUUGGAUAUAGAGUGCUGUGCUGAUACCUGUAGAGAACAGGCUUCUCUGUUCUGUGCCCCAAUUUGCCUACUGACCUUUAAGUCGGUUACCUUUUUUAAACUUCUGUUCUCUUUAUUUUGUGCCUGGAGUCUGUCUUUUUUCCCUUAUGAGACCUUCCUCCUU